rnacentral:lncRNA from 1 species
UUAUUUGCUAAAAUACUAGGUUUAAUUUGUUGUGCUAUUUUCUGAUUGAAAAUUUCAUUGUGGAAAUUGGUUAUUUUGUUUUUCUUUCACAUCUUCAUUGUAUAGAAUGAUUCUAUAUUUCAAAUUACCUGCUUUUGUUACCCUACAGUUGAGAUGACUGCUGGUUCUAGUAUCCGCACGUGGCUGUCAGUUAGAAAAAUGCUUGAGAUGGGUACCUGAUUGUAUUGGACAUUAGGGAUUAAACUAAGUGUGACAUGAAUUCUCUUUUCUCUUUGUGCAUGUUCACGCACUGGCUUACUGCAUGCAUUCUCUAUCUUUCCUACUCGUACAGUUCUAAUAAAAUUUUUUGGGAAAUGUAUUUUGUCCUUGUGGCAAAAAACUUAUUAGCUAUAUAUUUGUGGCUGUGUGUGUGCUUGUAAUUGAUUUAUAUGUAUUUUGUGAUGCAGGUCAUUACCCUGGAUAUGGGUCUUCUUGUUGCUGGAACUAAGUACCGAGGAGAGUUUGAGGAAAGAUUGAAGAAGCUAAUGGAAGAAAUCAAACAAAGUGAUGAAAUAAUUCUUUUUAUUGAUGAAGUGCAUACAUUAAUUGGAGCUGGAGCAGCAG